GAUGAAGAACGUAGCGAAAUGCGAUAAGUAGUGUGAAUUGCAGAAUUCAGUGAAUCAUCGAAUCUUUGAACGCACAUUGCGCCCCAUGGUAUUCCGUGGGGCAUGCCUGUUCGAGCGUCAUUUACCCCCUCAAGCUUCGCUUGGUGUUGGGCGUCUGUCCCGCUUCGCGCGCGGACUCGCCCCAAAGGUAUUGGCAGCGGUCGUGCCAGCUUCUCGCGCAGCACAUUGCGCUUCUCGAGGCACCGGUGGGCCCGCGUCCAUCAAGCUCACCCCCCCAGUUUGACCUCGGAUCAGGUAGGGAUACCCGCUGAACUUAAGCAUAUCAAUAAGCGGAGGA
rnacentral:misc_RNA from 1 species